rnacentral:tRNA from 1 species
GCCCACGUAGCUCAGUUGGUAGAGCGCUUCCUUGGUAAGGAAGAGGUUCAUCGGUUCGACUCCGAUCGUGGGCUCCA